rnacentral:rRNA from 1 species
UCCAGACUCCUACGGGAGGCAGCAGUGAGGAAUAUUGGUCAAUGGGCGGGAGCCUGAACCAGCCAAGUCGCGUGAGGGAAGACGGUCCUAUGGAUUGUAAACCUCUUUAGGCGGGGAGCAAUGCCGGGCACGCGUGCCCGGAGGGAGAGUACCCGCAGAAUAAGCAUCGGCUAACUCCGUGCCAGCAGCCGCGGUAAUACGGAGGAUGCGAGCGUUAUCCGGAUUUAUUGGGUUUAAAGGGUGCGUAGGCGGAUUUUUAAGUCAGCGGUAAAAUGUCCGGGCUCAACCCGGGCCGGCCGUUGAAACUGGCGCUCUUGAGUGGAAGAGAAGUAUGCGGAAUGCGUGGUGUAGCGGUGAAAUGCAUAGAUAUCACGCAGAACCCCGAUUGCGAAGGCAGCAUGCCGGCUUCCGACUGACGCUGAAGCACGAAAGCGUGGGGAUCGAACAGGAUUAGAUACCCUCGUAAA